rnacentral:rRNA from 1 species
GAUGAACGCUGGCGGCGUGCCUAACACAUGCAAGUCGAACGAGAUGCGUAUUGGAAAGCUUCGGCCGGAAGAUGCGUUAUCUAGUGGCGGACGGGUGAGUAACACGUGGGUAACUUGCCUUAUGGAGGGGGAUAACAGAGAGAAAUCACUGCUAAUACCGCAUAAGCACACAUUGCCGCAUGGUAGAGUGUGAAAAGAUUUAUCGCCAUAAGAUGGACCCGCGUCUGAUUAGCCAGUUGGCAGGGUAAAAGCCUACCAAAGCAACGAUCAGUAGCCGAUCUGAGAGGAUGACCGGCCUCAUUGGGACUGAGACACGGCCCAAACUCCUACGGGAGGCAGCAGUGGGGAAUAUUGCACAAUGGGGGAAACCCUGAUGCAGCGACGCCGCGUGAGUGAAGAAGUAUUUCGGUAUGUAAAGCUCUAUCAGCAGGGAAGAUAAUGACAG